rnacentral:tRNA from 1 species
UCUGGUUCGAGUCCAGGAUGGCCCACCUGGAAAAAAAGUGAUGAAUUGUCAGUAAUGAGUAAGGGAUAAUCAAUCAAUGAUUAAUACCGGACUCAUACAAUCAAAAUCAGAACUACAAGUGUGGGGGUAUAGCUCAGUUGGUAGAGCGCCUGCCUUGCACGCAGGAAGUCAGCGGUUCGAGUCCGCUUACCUCCACUCUCACUAGCUGCACUAACUACAAGCAACUACCAAAAAAAUAGAAAUCAGCACCCAGACUAACUUAACCAAAAUCAAAGAAGUCGGAAUGCUGGAGUCUAGAACUCUAGUCAGAACCUUGAAAACUGCAAAA